GAGGUCAGUGUUUGUGGGUUUUGUCCUACUUGCUCUCAUUUCUGUGAGCCAUACCUGCAGGAUCAAACACGUCAAAGAAGGUGCCACUCAUUGCGAGGAUCCCAUUGAUGGCAGCCAGCAUCUGGUUGGACCCGCCGGACGAACAGCAAGUGUGAACAGUGCUUAUGCGACUCCAAGUUCGUUUCGUGCUGUAAUAGGUGGCCAACAGGCACAGUUGGAGACUGCUUGAUUAAAUUUGAUUAUGAAACCUGUACUUAUGAAGUGAUAGAUAAAAAAAACCCAGAUGCUCCAUGUGGCCUGUCUUACCUGCUCUGAAUAAAGGUUUAUCACUGGAGUAAGAGGACAGAGGCAC